AGCCCUGUAGCUCAGUUGGUCAGAGCAGAGGACUCAUAAUCCUUUGGUCCACGGUUCAAGUCCGUGCGGGGCUACCA
rnacentral:tRNA from 1 species